rnacentral:rRNA from 1 species
GUCAACUGGUUGUUGGUGGGGUUAAACCCAUUAGUAACGAAGCUAACGCGUGAAGUUGACCACCUGGGGAGUACGGCCGCAAGGUUAAAACUCAAAGGAAUUGACGGGGACCCGCACAAGCGGUGGAUGAUGUGGAUUAAUUCGAUGCAACGCGAAGAACCUUACCUACCCUUGACAUGCCAGGAAGCCCGCUGAGAGGUGGGUGUGCCCGAAAGGGAGCCUGGACACAGGUGCUGCAUGGCUGUCGUCAGCUCGUGUCGUGAGAUGUUGGGUUAAGUCCCGCAACGAGCGCAACCCUUGUCACUAGUUGCUACGGUAAUGGGCACUCUAGUGAGACUGCCGGUGACAAACCGGAGGAAGGUGGGGAUGACGUCAAGUCCUCAUGGCCCUUAUGGGUAGGGCUUCACACGUCAUACAAUGGCGCAUACAGAGGGCUGCCAACCCGCCGAGGGGGAGCCAAUCCCAGAAAGUGCGUCGUAGUCCGGAUUGCAGUCUGCAACUCGACUGCAUGAAGUCGGAAUCGCUAGUAAUCGCGGAUCAGCAAUGUCGCGGUGAAUACGUUCCCGGGUCUUGUACACACCGCCCGUCACACCAUGGGAGUGGGUUUCACCAGAAGCCGGUUGCCUAACCGCAAGGAGGGCGCUGACCACGGUGAGAUUCAUGACUGGGGUGAAGUCGUAANCAAGGUACC